AGUCUCAGUGCCCACUAAGUGAAAAAGCUCAGCAGUUUGGCUAGCCUCUUAGAGUGAUGCUCUGGUGUGCUGGGGCCUAGUGGAGAGGCCUACAGAGGCCAUAGGGAUACUGUGACCUUUGUCUAGAGUUGAUGGGGGUGUGAUUUGUGAAAUAAAACAGGACCGUACUGCUUGGAAGAAGGAAACGGAAGCUGACAUAAUGGGGAUUAAUUAGUUGAUUGCUGUUGAGAUGGUAACAGAUUUGCUCCUAAACCAUUGAGCUAGCGAUUUCAGACCUAGCAGGGAAGGUGAAGAUGAAGAAGCCUUUGUUCAGGUCUCUAGAUGUGUAGGGCUGAGGGCUUUGCCGCCAUGGGAUGUCAACAGCCAUAAUAAUAAUUUGCACUUAUAUAGCACCUUUCAAUCAGGCACCUCAAAGCGGUUUAACCACAUUAAUUAAUUAAAGCCCACAAUCCCCCUGGGGAGAGGAGGAGGAUGACUAACAAGAUUUGUAAUUACAGGAGGGAACAUUUCCGAAUAAAGUAUUGUCUACCAAAUAAAAAGA
rnacentral:sRNA from 1 species